ensembl:lncRNA
UUAGAAAGCACAAGUUUUCCUCUUUCCACUCACUCCACGUUGCCUAAACCGCGGUUUCCUCUUCCCGGCGGCGCUGGGACUGCGGCAGCUGAGGCGCGCUCCGCUCCCGGGAACCUCGGGCCUUGGCGCGCCAUUUUCCGUCGCGCAGUUAGUUGCCGGGGCGUCCUGAGACCUUUUGAUCGGGUCCCUUUCGUCUCUAGGCCCCUCGGCGAUCUCCGAUCAGACUCACCCACCAGAGCACCGCCACAAAGGUCCGGGGAAGAAACCUCUCACCUCCCUGGAGUCUCAGCUCAGCGUUUGGGAAGGAACCGUUUAAAAACCCAGGAGCAGAAUAAUCUUGGGGAGAAGGGAAAAGCAGUUGUAACAUCCCCACGUGGCAAUAAAGAUGAAAACCUCGUGAAGUCCUGCUCGUCUCAUCAACAGGUGAUCGAAGGUGGGUAUGGCUGCUGCAUCUCCCUGGAGAAUCUUGUCACUUCAUCCUGGCAGCAGAACACUGCACUGCCACACGGUGCCAUGUGCCACCCCAACUGAGAAGAGGCUCUGCAGUAAAAAGGAGGCACGUGGAGUUGAGUAGCUGGAAGUAAUUUCCAUUUUAAUUUCCAUGCCUGUAUAACACAGUCUGUCACAUCAGUGUUGUCAUAUGUUCAUGGGCUGGCUUGGAAAGAGGAGGGAGCCUGAGGGGUGGGGCUGGCACUCCCGUUGCCAUUGGAGACAGAAUCUGGCUUUAGUUUUGUUGGAAGAGCAGUUCCAGUGGCUGUGAAUCCAGGCUGGGAGAAUGCUGGCAUCCCACCCUCUGGAGGGAGCCCUACUGGCGGAGUUUAAAUGCGGGACUUCUGCCUGGGGGAAUCUUUUGAGUCUGAAAUAUUCAUAUUCUCGGGAAAAUAUUCAUAUUCUCGGUGGAAGAGGGCAGCUAUUCCGUAAAUCUGUAAAUGAGCAUCAUUGAACCCUGUGUACUUUUCCCAAGUUAGGAAUGAGGUUAAACUGUCGGGGCGGGGGGUUUAACCGAUCUUUGGACUUGGCUGAAAGCGGGGAGCAGCAUUUCCCCUCCUCUUCCUUUGUAAACGUCGAGGAAAAUCCAGACUUGUUCUUUGAGCGCCCUCUGGUGGCAGUCAUCAAGAAUACUCCAGUUCUGUGGGUUUUGCGGGGAGUUAGGGACACCGAGGCUGCCUGGGCUUUCGGUAACAAGCAGUAGGAGAACAGAUGGUCUACCCUUUUAGUGGUGGGGCAAAGGGUCCGCUCCCUCCCUCUGCAAGGUAGCCGCCGUUCGGAAUCUGAGGAGUUGAAAUUCCUCCGGACGUCUGGCCCUGCUGAUGUGCACGUGUCCUGGGGUGCAGAGGACUGGGAAAUCUGCUCUGUGCUGCUUUGGCGCUCCUAUACUUGCUUACCCUUUUCUAGGUGGGCCUCAGUUUCCCAACCAGAUUGGCAGCUCCUCCAGCGCCAAGGUGGCACCUUAACCAUCUUUGAAGGGCGCCUCCGCUGCUGAUCCGAGUGCUUCCUGGAGGAACGCUAGAGCCGGGGCAGGUCACAAGGUGAACUGCACUGCGCGCCUCUGAGGCUGAUGCUGGGUGACCGACCGCGUCAGCUGCUUGCCUGCCUCCUGCGUGUGAAUUCUCAUAGGUCCUGACAGAUGGUGGCGGCUUUGACAGCUCGUCAGCUCCGUGAGGACGCUGGUCCCCACUCACUGCUCCUGGACCGCCAGCUCUGAUUCUGUGUGCCGGGCUUCUCCGCUAAUGCUUUAGGCUUGGAAGUGGGGACCUGUCUGGAGCAGCACGGCAGGAGUUCCAGGGCAGCCGUGGGGUUGGAACAAAGACCCGCGGCAGGAAUCACAGUGAGAAGUGCUCAAAUUCAACACGCAGACAUGACGCUCUGAAAGCUCAAGGAAAGCUCUAGAGAGCAGGGGGACUACGGCUCCAAGAGCAUCGGACAUGAAAACACCAGACCCAGGUUGGAGGCCUGGUUCUGCGUCUCUGGGAGGCUCCCUGAACCCAGUAUCUGUAUAACUUUGGUGUACAUGUUUUCCAAAGACCCUUUGCCAGAUCCGAUAGUCUUUUCAAUAUACAUACGAUGUAUUUUAAAAUAGCUAAUGGUGUGUGUUCAAUGGCCUGGGGUUGUUUGCUACCACUUUCAUUGAUGAGAACUAGAAUCUGCAACUCAAGAAUUCUUGUCGUCGUCCUCAUUGGUGGGGCAUUGCCUGGACACCACUGCCCCCUUGUGGCAGCAAAUCUAAUUUUGUAGGUUGAUGAUAAGAAAUUCCACAAUUCGCAAAACCUUAUAAACUUGGAUAUAUAAAAGGGUUGAAGAAGGUCCCCAAAGCUUUAUUCAUCGCUGAAAGGGACAUAUUCUUGUAACAAGAUCAGAUGCCUUAGUCAUUCACCCCCUUAAUGCCUUGGCUUUACUUCAAGUUAGUAAUUUAGAAGUGUUCUUUAAGUGGGUUUACAGCCAGAUUACCUAAAUCCGCUCAUAAAUUGACUCACAGAUUAAAAUGUGCCAACUUCUGAGACUUGGUACGCUUCACCAGAGUGGAUUCAUUAAAAAGAGAAAUGACGCUAAGCCCUGGUGGCACUUGUAGGUAUUAAACACCCCAUUUGUGUGAAGACAACCUUUUCUUUCUUCUUUUUAUGGAGGUAAGAUUUACAAAAUGUAAAAUCAGCCACUUUAAAGUGAACCAUUCGGUGGAAUUUAUGAUGUUAUGUAACCGUCUAUUUUCUUUCAUCAUUCCCAAAGAAAACUCCUGUACCUAUGCAGUUAGUACCCAGUCCCCAGUUCCCAAUCCCCAGUUACCUGGAAACCACCAGUUUGCAUUGUGUCUCUGUGGAUUUACCUCAUUCUAGUAAAUGAAGUGGAAUCCUACUGUAUUUGUCCUUCUGUAUUUGGCUUUCACUGAGUGUAAGGUCUUUGAGGUUCAUACACGCCGUAGCAUGUAUCAGAACUUCAUUCCUUUUUAUGGCUGAAUAAUAUUCUAUUACAAAUCUAUCACUCAUCCACUGAUGGCCAUUUGAGUUGUUUUCACAUUUUGGCUCUUGUGAAUAGUGCUUCUUUGGAUAAUCAUCUACAAAUUUGUUUUUGAGUCCCUGUUUUCAAUUCUUUGAGGGUAUAUAUCUAAGAAUGGAAUUUCUGGGUCAUAUAGUAAGUCUAUGCUUAACUCUUUUUUUUUUUUUUUUUUUUUUUGUCUUUUUGCUAUUUCUUGGGCCGCUCCCGCGGCAUAUGGAGGUUCCCAGGCUAGGGGUCCAAUCGGAGCUGUAGCCACCGGCCUACGCCAGAGCCACAGCAACGCGGGAUCCGAGCCGCGUCUGCAACCUACACCACAGCUCACAGCAACGCCAGAUCGUUAACCCACUGAGCAAGGGCAGGGACCGAACCCGAAACCUCAUGGUUCCUAGUCGGAUUCGUUAACCACUGCGCCACGACGGGAACUCCUGUUUAACUUUUUAAUAAACUGAGACUUCAGAAUGAUGUGUCA